rnacentral:tRNA from 1 species
UGGGUUGUGGCUCAGUGGUAGAGCAUUCACCUAGAAUGUGCGAGGCCCUGGGUUCGAUCCUCAGCACCACAU